AAUAUCUAUGAAUCAAGUAGUGAGAACUGAAAAGCAAAAACUAAAAGAGCUCCGAAAAUUAAAAAAGAGGAGAAUAUGAACAAGCAGAAAACAAUUUAUUGAGGUAGCUAGAUGCUAAACCCCUUUUCCAUCAUGAGGGAUGGAACAAGCUAAUUUAAAGUUUGUACGGCUUUGGUGAAUCACUUGUUGUAGGAGCACAAGUCACUUGAUCUAAUUAAAUUAAAUUG